rnacentral:ncRNA from 1 species
UUAUUACUUUAAUAAUAAGUCGGACUAUACCUUAAGCUUUGAAUAAUUUUCAAAACCAAUAUCCAUCUAGUCUCUGAACUUUAAAUUUAAUUAUUCUACCGAAUAAUAACAUGCUAAAGCAUGUUACGAACAUUAUAAUGUUCGUACGACCUUUGGUCGUAAAAGCAUAUAUAUGCUUUUAUAAGCGGUAGCUUAUUAAUUUAGCUGCUGAUUAUUCUAUCAUUACAUUAUUACUAAGAGUAGUAGUGAUUUCAGAAGUUUCCAGCAAUUUGAAUAUUUCGCAAGUUUAUACUUACUAGUGUAUUACACUUUUGGCUACUAUCAAUUGAAUAGCCUGAA